UACAGGGGGUGCAAACGUUGCUCGGAAUCAUUGGGCGUAAAGCGCACGUAGGCGGUUCGUUAUGUCGGAUGUGAAAGCCCUUGGCUUAACCGAGGAAGUGCAUCCGAAACUGGCGAGCUAGAGUACUAAAGAGGAUCGCGGAAUUCCCGGUGUAGAGGUGAAAUUCGUAGAUAGUACGGGAGGAACACCGGUGGCGAAGGCGGCGAUCUGGGUAGAUACUGACGCUGAGGUGCGAAAGCGUGGGGAGCAAACAGG
rnacentral:rRNA from 1 species